AUCUGGGAUAGCCCAGACGGUAGAGCAUGAGACUCUUGAUCUCAAGUUCAUGGGUUCAAGCCCCAUGUUGGACA